UGCCUUCCAAGCAAUAGACCCGGGUUCGACUCCCGGCAAACGCAAUUUUAGAUUUUCUUUCUUUAUUUUUUUAAAUGUUCAAAUAAAUCAUAAAAUAAGCCGCUAAAAUUCAAAUUUGAACCUUCUCGUUUGCCGCGAUAAUUCCAAAUUUCCCCCAAAACUGUGAUUCCAUUUUUUGUUUCUCGUCUUCCUCGAAAAAUCAUGUUCCAUUGCUGCAUUUCCAUUUGGUUUCACGAACUUCCUGCAGAAUGUGGUUCUUCCUCCUUCUCUUAAUCCGAUACUGAUAUAAAACUUCACUCAUCUACCAGUUUCUAUUCUACCCAAAAAGUAUAAGACAUUUGAGGACCUGGGGCUUAAAGAUUUUAAGCAUUGAUGCCAAUUAUUCCUCAUAUUUCUUUGAGGACUUCUAUCAAACACCUUGUGUGCAAGAUAAGAUGCGGACGUAAUUCAUUUGUAAAGGGAUCCCGUUUACCAUUCACAACCCAGAACCAAUGACAAAUCAAUUCAAACAACCAGGACUUGAAUUUGCCUUUGAUACCUGGAUUUCGGAAGACUUCCCAGAAUCGCAUCCCAUGAUCCAUGAUUGUUGUAAUCUGUAAUCUGUAUUCUGUAAUUAGAUUAGAACAUGUUAUUGCUGCAUUGAGAAUACGGAGUACCUUGUGAAAACCGUACCCAAUACACACACCCAAGAACUCUUACAAAACGGCUCCAUUUAUCGAAAAAUCCCUCCACCUUUCUGAUACCAAUUUGUCAAUGGGGAAACGUGUAAACCAAUGUGUGUAGAACGAAGUCAAAGUCAACUUUCGCUUUGACUAAUUUAAAAAAUACCCCUGGACUAUAGUUUUAAGCCAUGGGUGUAAUAAAGCUAAA